rnacentral:rRNA from 1 species
UACGUAGGGUGCGAGCGUUAAUCGGAAUUACUGGGCGUAAAGCGUGCGCAGGCGGUUCGUUGUGUCGGCGGUGAAAGCCCCGGGCUUAACCUGGGAAUGGCCGUUGAAACUGGCGGGCUUGAGUGUGGCAGAGGGGGGUGGAAUUCCGCGUGUAGCAGUGAAAUGCGUAGAGAUGCGGAGGAACACCGAUGGCGAAGGCAGCCCCCUGGGCCAACACUGACGCUCAGGCACGAAAGCGUGGGGAGCAAACAGG